GCGCCCGUAGCUCAGUGGAUAGAGCAACCGCCUUCUAAGCGGUUGGUCGCAAGUUCGAUCCUUGCCGGGCGUA
rnacentral:tRNA from 2 species